AACGUAGGAGACGAACGUUAUCCGGAGUUACUGGGCGUAAAGGGCGUGUAGGCGGUUUGUUAAGUCUGGCGUGAAAGCUCUCGGCUAAACCGGGAGAGGUCGUUGGAUACUGGCAAACUUGAGGAUGGUAGAGGCGUGUGGAAGUUCCGGGUGUAGUGGUGAAAUGCGUAGAGAUCCGGAGGAACACCAGUGGCGAAGGCGACACGCUGGGCCAUACCUGACGCUAAAGCGCGACAGCAUGGGGAGCAAACGGG
rnacentral:rRNA from 1 species